AAUACCUACAAGCCACUUGGAAGAACAUCGAACGUGAUGAUACUGACAAAAACUGUAAUUAUUUUACGAACGAUAAAAAACCGUUGAAAUAAUUUUUUUUUAUUUCAAUGGCAUCGACUUAUGGACUGUGAAUUUAGUACUAAGAUUCAAAAUAAAAAUAAUUCAACAUCGCAUUGCGGGUAUCGUCUGUUAAUCGUCAUCAUAUCUAGUCAUUUAAGACGAGAUUAUUUUUAUAAAACUUUAAAGCACUGCACCGAACUUUUUUUUUAAACUAUAAUAAUUAUAAAUAUUUUUUUUUGUACUACUUGUGUUUUAUUUUGUUUUUUAAAAUGUUUUGUAUUUUUGAGCACAAUUUUUUAAUUUAUUCAAAUCUACAAGAACAAAAAAACUAAUAAUUUUCUUGUUAUUUUAGAAAUGACAAAAUAUUUUUUUAAAAUCAAAAUUUUUUAAAAAGUUAAUAAAGUGCAAACGGAAUUGUUCAUAGUAAAAAAAAAAAAACAAUAUAAGAAAUAUUAUAUAACAAGUAGGUAAUAAUAAAUAGACAAAAAAUAAUAUAAAACAAAUAUUUAAUGCAUUUAAUGUUAAAUGUUAAAAUUUAUAUAAAAAAUAUAUAUAUAUACAACUAAAACAUACAUACAAACAAAAAAACAAAGAUCAAUGUUUAUAUAUACAUAAAUACAUACAUAAUAAAUACAUAGAAUACAAAAAUAAUACAAAACUUUUCUUGUUAAACAAAAAAAAAAAUGCAAAGAAAACUUUAAAUCUUUCUCUAUCGAAAUUAUUUUACUAGUUGAAUUAAAUCAACUUGAUUCUUUUAUAAACAAAAACAAUGUUUUCACUAUUUACCGCCAUUCUGAGGAAAGGCAAGCAAAAUAAAAUAUUCAUCGAAUUUAGUUUAAACUAAAAAAAAAAAAACAAGAACUAUAACUUGUACAUAAGAAUUAAAAAAAUCAUAUUAUAAAUUAGUUUUAUAAAUUUUUUAGAGUUUAGUGGUUUUCUUGAAGACAUUUUGUGUCGGCGUAAAGCAAAAUUGUUUUAAGUACAUAGGAUUUCUUAAGGACUUAGAACAAUUUUGCUUUACGCCGACGAUUUGUAUAGGUUUUAUUUUUUUCCCAAAUUCUUCGCGUUAAAAUAUGUAAAGCAAUGUUUCCCUUCAAUUGAAAUUGAGUGAGCCCAGCAGAAAUAGUAGUUUUGGUUACUUUAAAAUUCGUUAAGCAGUGGGUAAACGGUGUUGCCUCAUGCUCUUACUGCAAAGCGAAUCAAGUGAUGUUCAUACGGAAUAAUCAAAAUAUAUUUAAUUGUUCACAUGUAAUUUCUUGUUCACACCACUCUUGAUUUCUGAUUGUUUGUUUGAUUUCUGAUUUUUUUUUCACAAACAUCUAUUAUUCCUCCAGAUAAUAUUCAAACUAGCGUUGUAGAGAGGAAACGGUAGCUCGGACAAAAAAAAAACAUUAAAAAAUAAA